GAAACUCCCAUUAGAUCAACUUCACCAUCAACAUGUUCUCUGUAGCUCUGCUGCUGCUGCUGGUUGCUGCAUCCUGUGUGGAGUGUGAACAGCUGACACAGCCGGCCUCUAUGAUAGUGCAGCCAGGUCAACGUCUGACCAUCAGCUGUCAGGUCUCUUAUGAUCAGAACAGCUACUACACAGCUUGGAUCAGACAACCUGCUGGGAAAGGACUGGAGUGGAUUGGUAGAGACACAGAAUUCAAAGAUUCAUUAAAAAACAAAUUUGGAGGGAGCUUAGACUCUUCCAGUAAAACAGCAACUCUGAAUGGACAGAAUCUACAGCCUGAAGACUCUGCUGUGUAUUACUGUGCCAGACAGAGUGGCACAGUGACACAAACAAGCAGUAAAGCUGUACAAAAACCCCUGAACAGGCUGUCAAACCACCAGAGGGAGAUCUCUGACUUCCUUGUUAUUUUAACUUAA